GAUGAACGCUGGCGGCGUGCCUAAUACAUGCAAGUCGAGCGCAGCGAGGGCAGGUGCGUAACACGUGGAUACCCGCCUAUAAGAAUGGGAUAACUUCGGGAAACCGGUGCUAAAACUGCUACUUAUAGCUGGUUCCUCGCUGCAUUAGCUAGUUGGUAGGGUAACGGCUGAGAAAGGCAACGAUGCAUAGCCGACCUGAGAGGGUGAUCGGCCACACUGGAACUGAGACACGGUCCAGACUCCUACGGGAGGCAGCAGUAGGGAAUCUUCCGCAAUGGGCGAAAGCCUGACCGAGCAACGCCGCGUGAGUGAUGAAGGUCUUCGGAUCGUAAAACUCUGUUAUUAGGGAAGCGGUACCUAAUCAGAAAGCCACGGCUAACUACGUGCCAGCAGCCGCGGUAAUUC
rnacentral:rRNA from 1 species